rnacentral:rRNA from 1 species
UACGGAGGGUGCGAGCGUUAAUCGGAAUUACUGGGCGUAAAGAGUGCGUAGGUGGUUAUGUGUGUUAGAUGUGAAAGCCAUGGGCUUAACCUGUGAAUUGCAUUUAAAAACUGCAUAGCUAGAGUGUUGUAGAGGGUGGCGGAAUUUCCAGUGUAGCGGUGAAAUGCGUAGAUAUUGGAAGGAACACCAGUGGCGAAGGCGGCCACCUGGACAAACACUGACACUGAGGCACGAAAGCGUGGGUAGCGAACAGG